rnacentral:sRNA from 1 species
AUUUACUUUUUUUUUUUUGGUUUUGGAUCAUUUUCUAGAAGGAAGAGC